GACAAAACAAUAGACAAACUCAAAAUGGGAGACAUUGGACAAGAUAACUGGCCAAACUCUUCCGAAGUGUCAAAGUCAUGAUGUCAAAGAGAGAGGGGAGACCUGAUUCCUGCUCCAGGACACCUCAGAGACAGGACAACUAAAUGAAAACUAGUGUCUACUAUGGACUCACUGUGGAUCUUGUGAAGUUUGGCAUUUUCGUCCACCAGGUUAGAGAUAAACAUGUGCAAAAUGCUUGAUAAGACAAUUCACAAGCAAGAAUUUGAUCCAAAGGAACUGAUAAGAUGCUGGAGAAAUGUAUGAAAAACUCUUCAUACUACAGCAGGAAAAAAACUGUAGAACAAUUUAACCCGUGGAAUUAUUGGAAGGAAAGAGGAACUGUCAUUAUACCCAAGAAAAUCUCAGUUGGAUAUC
rnacentral:lncRNA from 1 species